rnacentral:rRNA from 1 species
UACGUAGGGUGCAGGCGUUAAUCGGAAUUACUGGGCGUAAAGCGCACGUAGGCGGUCUUUUUAAGUCGGGGGUGAAAGCCUGUGGCUCAACCACAGAAUUGCCUUCGAUACUGUUUGGCUUGAGUUUGGUAGAGGUUGGUGGAACUGCGAGUGUAGAGGUGAAAUUCGUAGAUAUUCGCAAGAACACCAGUGGCGAAGGCGGCCAACUGGACCAACACUGACGCUGAGGCGCGAAAGCGUGGGGAGCAAACAGG